UUUGUUAGAAAAUUCUUUAAACUAUUUAAAACAAGAUCUAUACUCUUGAUCUUGAUUACAAGACUCCUAUCAUCAUUUUUUAAAGAAUAUUCAUUUUCAGCCAUUCAUUUUUCUGUUCACUUGAUGGAUAAAAGAACAAUAUCGAAAAUGCGUGAAAUUUGAUUUCUAGGUAGUUUAAAUGGUUUAGAUCAUAUUUAACGGAGCCGAUCGUCAAUUUGGAAGCUCUAUCAUCGAAAACAAAUCGGUAGUAAAACGGCUCGUUUACUACCGAUAGUAUUCUAGCUCAACUAUAUAUAUAUAUAUAUGUACAGAGUCCGGCUAUUAUACUCUUAUGAGUACGAUCGCAUUCGUACUCGUAAGUUGUUUUCGAUGAUAGAGCUUCCGAAUCGACGAUCCAGAUCGUUAAACAUUAUCUAGAGUAUUUAAAACUUCUAGAUAAAGAUCGGAAUAGUUUGAAUUUUUGAUAGAAAAUUAUAUUCAUUACCUAGAUAAAGAUCAAUAACCCCGAUCUUAAAUUGAAGAAUCCGAUCAUCCAUUUUUAGGACGUCAUUCGAUUUUGACCAUUCAUUUAUAUCCGCUUGAUGGACUUUAUAAUGAUUUCAAAAAAUUAUAUAUUUUAUUUUUUAAAAGUUUCAAAUACUCUAGAUCAUGUUUAACUGUAUUGAUCGUCUAUUCGGAA
rnacentral:lncRNA from 1 species